rnacentral:rRNA from 1 species
CCCUUAGAUGUUCUGGGCCGCACGCGUGCUACACUGAGUGGAUCAGCGGGUCAGGUUGCGCGAAAGUGUUUCCUAAUCUUGAAAUCCGCUCGUGAUGGGGAUUGACGGUUGCAAUUUUCCGUCAUGAACGAGGAAUACCUUGUAAGCGCGGGUCAUCAUCCCGCGCUGAAUACGUCCCUGCCCUUUGUACACACCGCCCGUCGCUCCUACCGAUUGAAGUUUUCGGUGAGUUGACAGGAGGAUUUUUUUGAAACUGGUUCGCCAGUGGAUUUUAGAUCCAAAGGCCAACGAAUCGAUGGCUUUAGAGGAAGGAGAAGUCGUAACA